ACAAACCUUCAGUAGUAAUAGUUUUGUUUGUUGAUCAAAAAACAUACAGUAACAAACAUUUUAUUUACAUAAGAUUUGUUUUCAUUCACUUUUAUGAUAGUAUUGCUUCAGCAAUGGGCCACAAGAGGUCCGGUUACAGUGACUUUACCAUAUAGUUAAAGGGCUUUUAGACUCUAUCAAUGAAAAACACAGUCUCAUUAGAGUCAUAGCUUUUUUCAAUCUAUGUAAAAAUGAAAACUAGAAACUAUUUGCUCCUGUGGUUUAAUUUGUGCUUAAAAAUGGCAGGAGAGUCGGUCGGUCAUCUGUGUGCCACGCACUGCUGCUGUGUGUUGAUGCAGGUCAAAUGUUUCUGGAACAGUCUGAUAUGACACAAUGAGCGCUUUGGAAGUGCAGUUAAUGACAACACGAACAACGUCCUACUUUCGGCCUCCAAUAUGGUGCAGAGACAGAAAAUUCCCCAAGAUGCGGGCGCCUAAAAGCGCUGGCUAGGUCAGUCACGCGCUUCCUCCAAUUAUAGCACGACUGUGACAACUCGGGGGUGAAGAUGGAAACUCUUCCCUCCAAUGCUAUAAAUCAACACGGCACAGCUCAUUUUCAAGGUGAUGUCGAGGAAGUUGGAGACUCAGGAAUUUGUGAGCGGGAAAUGGGAAUUGGGGCAUGGACAUCAGAAGAGGGCAGUUUGAGAAGUAACUAUUUGUGAAUGUUAUAACAUAACCAGGGAUGUGAUUUUUCCGUAUAAAUACGGAUUUCAGUAUUUUCUUACCUUGGUGGGAUGACUUGUCUAAAUCACGUAAAUUCGAUGAGUUUUAUUUUUGUGAUGGUGGGGGGUGCGCUUCACGGUCGUCCAACAUGGAUCCCAGACAUUUGGUUUGUUUGAGUUCACGGGUGUGGCAAAAACGACAGGCAAGUAAAAUCAAAGUAUCACGAGAGUGAUUGGCGAAAUCAUAAGGAAGUCUUCUUUUGAAUCGCUCUUGCGCUACUGUGAUGUCAUCAGCCUUUUCUGUGUUCUUCGUCAUACACGUGCUUGUUGAGAAUGCGCAGAGCGACAACAUUCGGGAUGUACAGUCAUGAGUCGAGUAUAAGACACAGAACGCUGUAAAACUUCACUUUAGAAUUCUGUGGCAUCAAUGAUAUCGAUUAAAACAACAUUUAUACAUAGCCUGACAUGAAAAGAUUUUAUUGGAAUGGAUUGGAACAAAUGAUGGACACGGGCUACUCCUCACUUGUAAGUCACAUUGGUCUACUAGGCUACUGUAAAGACGUAAAUGUAAACAUGUUAAAAUUGCAAAAUAUUGCAUGAAAUACUGUUAAUACAAAUUGGUUAAUGGUGGACAGAUUGACUACACGGUGUGAACGCACAGUAACUAGCAGUUACAUGUCAAUCUGCAACGCGGUUAUGAGACUCUGAGAACGAUCCAAUCUCAUGAGGUCAAAAACGUAAAAAAACAAUAUUGAUUUGUUUACAACAAAAGCGGGAGGGUUUGGGGCGCACUUCCCAAGGCGGAUCUGAAAACAGCCAAUUAGAGCUCAGUUUCAAGUCACCUGCUUUUACCCCUGACCUACAUACACAAACAUGGCACACACACAACAAACUCAGUUUUUAUUUAUUUAAAAAUAAUUGUAUUAAUUUGGGCUAUAUAUUAAAGUUUUUGGUAACAUGUUAAAGUAGCUCUUCUCUCUGGCCAACAAUACAGUUGGGGCAAUGCCCCAGUGCCACCUAUUGACCUAUUACCUUCUGGUAGCGCCGCCAUCUUAGACUCCUUUGUAUUCAGGAGAGAGUAUUAGCGUAGUGUACGCACUUUUCUUAGUGACAUAUGACAAAUUCGGAGGUCGGGGGCACAGAGCAGCAGCAGAGUAACCUCCGUAGGCUGCGUAAGCUCUCAUCCUGAAUGCGGACGCGACUAAGAUGGCGGCGCUACCGGAAGGUAUUUAUUUUCGUUAAUAAAGUUUUAAAUAUGGAUAUUUCUACAACAACACCGCACGGAUUACCCUCAGAAGACAUUUGUUUAUCAUCCUGGAGCCGUUUGGAUUUAAUUUGUGAAGGAUGGACGCACUUUUUUUGCUUGGGGGUGAGUAAAUCAUGGGGUUAAUAUCGUUUUUGGCCGAACUAUCCCUUUAAUAUCUGUGGUUAUUUCUUACAGCUUUAUUUUCAAUACAUUUACAUUUAUCAACUUUCCCAUAUAUGAUUUAGUUUAUGUUUGUCAUCUAUGUUAAACUCAUAAAACAACAUCAUC